UUUUUUUGCGUGUCUACAGCCUCUUUUUCAAGCAAGAAAUGGAGCUUUCAUUGAUUGGGCUCCAAAAUGCUGGGAAAACUUCGCUUGUGAAUGUUAUUGCUGUAAGUUUCAUGCUUUCUUGUCACUAUUCAUUUCCUGGAGUUGUGCUGAUUUACCAUCGACGGCCUAUUCUGCAGACAGGAGGUUUUAGCGAAGACAUGAUUCCCACAGUAGGAUUCAAUAUGAGAAAGGUAACCAAAGGAAAUGUCACAAUAAAAUUGUGGGAUCUUGGAGGCCAGCCAAGAUUCCGGAGCAUGUGGGAGAGAUACUGCCGUGCUGUUUCUGCUAUUGUGUAUGUUUCUGCGCUGUCUAUUUUAUGAAUUUGCGUAAAGAAAAGCAUUGCUCUUUUACUUACCCGACCAGAUUCUUUGCUGUUAGUUGUUGCACAUGCCUUUUUUCCCCCACAUUUUGUUUGUUUCUUUAUAUGAUUAAUUAUACACAUUGGUUGACGCCUAUAUUGUCCAGAUAAGGCUAUACGGGUAUGGAUACCACGAUAUGUCAAUUUUUCAAAAACACAGAUAUGGGGAUAUGUUUGUAUAUAUAUAAAAUAAUAAAUAAUAAUAAUAUAUAGGAAAUAAUUAUCAUAUGAAUAUAUAUGACAGUUUAGGAAUACUAAUAAAACAUGGAAAAUGCACCAUAAAUAUGAUUCUAGUUUUCUCCAGCCACUGCAACUUCAAUUUGAAGCUGCCGAAGAGUAGGAUCAGUCACAUUUGGGCAUCUGAUCCCCUUCUUGGAUAUCUUGAGUAAAUGUGCUUGAACUCUGUUGUAGCUUCCUCUCUAUUCUUGUGUAUAGAAUACUUACAGUACAUCUGAAUCGGACAUUCCCUCCACCCCAUGCAUCUGCCUCCAUAAUGUCUACAUGAUUCCACAAAGGCCUGUUGCUUAGAUCAUUUGCCAGCACAUCCUAAAAUAGUGUGAGGGCACACGCAACAGUAGACAAUGAGAAGAUAAUUUUUUACAAGCAAGUGCAUAUGGGAUAAAAUCUCAAACUCACCAUGGCUAAGAAAAUGUCGUUCAGAUUUGGUGAGUGGAGUACCGGAGUAGUGGCUGCUAGUCUUCCCUUCUCAAGUGCGGUGCCAGUUAGGGGGAGGGAGCAAUGGAUGCUGUCCUCCUCCUUCCUCAUACGGGCGUUGCUCAGGUCAGGGGGAGGGAGCGGGGAUGGAGGCGCUAAGAUUCGGGGAGGGAUCAUGGCGGCUGCGCUCAGAGGCAGUCGCAGGAUGGUGGUGCUAAUCUGGGCAGGGAGGUUGCUGCGGUGGCGCUCAGAUCUAGGGAUGGGAAUGACGGAGCAAUGCCGGCUGAGUCUCUCCUUCUCUGGUGCGGUGGGCUGGCGGCUGGGUAUUUCCUUCCGUCCGGUGAGCGGCGGUGCUCUAACAAGGGGAGGGAGCAGCGGCGGCUCGGAGCCCGGGUCCAGAGGGAUGAGACGAGAAAAGGGGAGAGGGGAUUGAGGGUAUGGAUGGACACAUGGGUUAGGGUUUUCCUGGUUUUUUCGUGUUCGACAAGUAUCCUGGGGUAUCCCACCAAUGUACGGUUUAGUUUAAUUUUUUGGAUUUGGAAAAGAAAAAUCGGGGGAAUACGUUUCGGUGGGUAUCCAGACGAAUUCUCGUAUCCGGGUGUAUCUAACCCCUGAUACGUCAAUUUCCUGCCGGAUCCGGGUAACGUAGGUCAGUACAGAUAAAUGCACCGCUGAAUUAUAUUAAAUUUAUUUAAUAUAUUUGGUGAAUUGAACUGGUAGACAUCCUAUAGAACUUAAAUAAUUUCAUAUUGACAUUGUAUUGGCAUUCACUCCCAAUAAAGUGUAUCCUGAUUAGUUUGGGUACCUUGGGGCGCAGAUGUUAUGUUAUCAGUGUAAAUUCGUUUUUCCUCAAUUAUCUAGUCUAAACACUUACUAUAAGAAUCUUGUAUCGAUGUCAUAAUUCACUUUAUGGCAAGGAUAAGUGUGGGUUUGACUUGUCUGUGAUUACUAAUUAGUCCUCUCACUUAGACUGGAUCUAGGAUUCCUUGCUUGUUUUUCCUGAUUAUUCUAUUUGCCUAGUAUAUCUAUAUGCUGAAGGCUGUGCAAGCUGGAAGGUCUACUAUUCUGAUUCAUUCCCACUUGACGUAUGAUAGCCAGCUGCAUAACAACUGGAUCGGGUUUUUUAUGUACGCUUGAUCAGUAUUUUCUGUUGGAGGCUUUAACAAACUAUAAGGAAAAAAAAUCUCUGUAUUGCUGAUGAUUUUUGAAACAAUUGCAUCUGCAGGUAUGUUGUUGAUGCAGCAGAUCGGGAGAACAUGGCUAUUGCCAAAAGUGAGCUCCAUGACCUUCUGAGCAAGCCAUCUUUGACCGGUAUCCCAUUACUAGUCAUUGGCAACAAAAUCGACAAGCCUGAAGCUUUCCCUAAGCAAAGUUUCACAGAAUUGAUGUAAGUUCACACAGAAGCUACUAUGAACUGAUGCAAAUUACUCAUCAAUCGAUACCCUAUUUGACGAACCAUAUGCUGCGUUUCAGGGGUCUGAAGGCAAUGACUGAUCGAGAAGUUGCCUGCUUCAUGAUAUCAUGCAAGAACUCAACCAACAUUGAUUCCGUCAUUGACUGGCUCGUGAAGCACUCAAAGAAGAAGAACUGAUCCAAGAUUUGUUGCCUUUGAAGUGCUGCAGAUUCUCUCUCUGUUUUUUGCAUGUUACUUAGCAAUUGGGGCUGUAAAUUAUGUGAGAGGUCUUAAUCAGGAAGGUUAUGUGUUCAUAAUUGAUAAUUGUGUAACCUGUUUUAGCAAUCUGUUGGUUGACUGCAUCUGGCAUUUGGACGCGUGUGCUCUGUUAGGCUGCUACAAAAAGCCUACAACUUACAGAAGCCUUUAGAUGUUGCAUACUUGCUUGGUGAAUUUGAAUCUCUGCAUGGUUUGGGGGGUUUUAUCGGUGAAUCUGAUGAAAUGUUGAAUUCUGUGGGCAAUUGAACGAUGCUAGGCACUUAUUGCACCGAACAUGGGUUGGGUUCCUUAAAUUUCUCUAAAUUUAAGAUAAAUAAAUACAUUUAAGUGUCAGAAAAUUCUGAAAAAUCAUACAGUAUAAAUUUGGAAUCCUUGCAUGCUUGCAGGUUUUUUUAAGAAACAUUUUGUGCUGUGAAAACCCAAAUUUUUUUGCUCGCUUUUCUAAGCAUUAUAAACAUGUUGUAACACAUUUUUUUCGCCAGAAAACAUGUUUUUAAUACCUGACACAAUGCUGACAUUUUCCCAUCAUUUAAAUGUGCUACCUUUUUAUACAUUAUUAUAUAUAGUUUCUUUUCGCCCUCUAUGGGGAUUCGAUUUUUAGUUAACAUUCAAAUCUAAAUCUGGGCAUCUGUCAAAACUAUAUGAAUCACACGUCUUCCAAAUUCGAAGGAAAAGGAAAUUUCCUUUUGAACUAAUAAUGAAAAGGAAAAGGAAAGUUGUCGCCCCGGGUCAUCCCGAGUUCUGAACCGGAAGCCCAGACGGGCGAGUCCUCUCCUCGGUUCAGCCCCCAAUCGUUCGCAGAGCCAAACAUGGCGGCGUCGCUCUCCAAAACCCUCGGCCUCCGGCUGCGCGGCAGCGGCGGGCACCGCCUCCUCCCCUCCCGUCCCUCCACUUCCCACGCGCCCCAGCCACCACCUCCGCCCGCCGCCGCCCCGCCGCCCCCAGGUCUCGGCCCGUACCGCCCCGCGAAAUGUCUCGCAGAGCAUAUUCGAAGUCAAGCCGCCGCCGCCGCCGCAUUCUAACCAGAUUUGUUUCCUCCCGCAGGAGCAGGGAAGGAAGCGGGCGCGUGGGCGAAGCUCUUCCUCUUCGCCCCCGGCGCCAUCACCUUCGGCCUCGGCACAUGGCAGCUCUUCCGGCGGCAGGAGAAGGUCAUACCCCUCCUUAGGCUGGCCGUUUGGCGCACGCUUAACGCUUGUGAAAUCCUCACUCUGUGCUGUUUCCUGCGCCAUCUCAGGUAGAGAUGCUGGAGUACAGGACGCGGAGGCUGGAGAUGGAGCCCGUGGCGUGGAACGAGACCGUCUCCUCUGCUGUCUCGCGUGAUCCGGCUGUGCUGGAGUUUCGGAAGAUCGUGUGUGAGGGCGAUUUCCACACGGAGAAGUCAGUCUUCCUCGGGCCUCGCUCCCGGAGCAUCUCCGGUGUGACAGAAAAUGGGUAUUAUGUGAUCACUCCGUUGAUACCUCGGCCGACUGAGCCUGGCAGGUAAAUUAUUGUUUGAAGCAGCAUUGUGCUGUUGCAAUGGAACUCUAGUUUCUUCACAGUUCACAUUGUCCAUUUCCUUUGAGCCGACGUCUUAAAUUAGUCCUACACUUCCACUUGAACAAAAAGCCAUUUCCAGUUUUACCGUAGUCAGGUUUAGAAUCUGAUUACCAUUACGCCUAUCAUAUCCUAACGCAAUACAAGGUAUCAAACACAUCAAGGUAUCAAAACACAACCUGAACUCUAGUUGUCAGUAGUUUUCAUGCUUCUUUGUUCUAAAUUGACUUCUUUUUGUACCCCUGCACAUGUUAUCUUUGGGAAAAGAUAAAAUCAGCAGAGAAAGCAUGAACUACAUAGUGAAAUUAACCGCUAUGUACAUAUUGGGUUCUGCAUAUUUGUAGUUUUGUUGCCUAGAAGUGAAGCAUUAGAUCUUUGUCUUGUAACUCCUCCUAGCUGUUCUCCUGAACAAGUUUUUGUUAGUAAUCCAUGAGGAAAGGACCUCUAGUUUCAAAAGGAGAGCAAAAAAGUAAAAGACUAGAAGACGAAAGCAAUUCUGUAUGAAAGUUCCUAUACUUCCACAUAUUGUGGAUAACCCAUUUACUAAUUAUUAAUAAGAAAGCUAUAUACGAGUCUAUUAAAGGACCAACCCUAGUUGUUAAACUGUACUUCAAAAUACUAAAGGAGCCUUCACUUGAGCGUUCGCUUCUGCCAAAUAUAUCUACCUAUAUCCAUGCUAGGUUCAGUGCCUGCAGAGUUUUGAGCAACCAAGCUGCAAUCUCAUUACCUCAGACUGGUUGGGCUUUGUCUCCGCAAAUCAUGAUCACAACGAAUAAUAAUUAAUUGAUGUUAUGCUGAAUGUGUUGACCAUAGAAAUAAACCCUAAUGUCUCACCACUUCCCAUUUUAUCUAAAACUUUUUGUUUCUAAGAAAUGUUUUGUCAGUUUGCAGUCACCCAUCCUUGUGAAUAGAGGGUGGAUUCCUCGUGCUUGGCGUGAUAAAAACAUGCAGGAUCACCAGGACCUUGGUGAAACUUUAGAUGUGAAAGAGGCUGAUAAAAAGACAGAUGAAAAAGGUACUUGGUGGAAAUUUUGGUCUAAGAAGCCUGAAUCUUCUCCAGAGGUGAUUUACAGCCCGAACCAAACGUAUGCAUAUCAAUAGUUUGCUCAUCUGAUCAGGCUAUCAUGUGUUUUUUUUACAUAUUGUUGAUAUUUUGUGAGUGCGAUGGUUCUUGAACUCUCUAAAUGAUGACACUGCUGCAGCCCAUUAAAGGAUAACUUCUAUGUAUAAUUGUUAACUUAACCUGCUUUUAAUCUUACAAAUGCAGUUAUUGAUGGUUGCUAGAAUAUUUAGUAUGUAAGUGAGCUGGUUGUUGGGUCUUAUGUCAGUUUUGAGCCAAUACAUGCUGCCACGCUUGUACACAUAUAAAAACCACCAUGGUAUUCAUUACUCCUUCCGGUCCAUAAUAAGUGUCGCAGUUUUGAACUAAGGUUGAACUAACCUUAGAUAAAAACUGUGACACUUAUUUUGGAUCGGAGGGAGUAUCUUAUUUUAUAUAUUUAGGAAUUUCAUUUAUUUAUAUCAUCAUUAUCUUAUACGAUGUACUAUACCCUUUACUUGGCAGACACAAAAUUGAUGCAUCUUACUUUGUACAGAUUGAAAAACCUGUAAAGCCUCCUGUAAGAGUUAUUGGAGUAAUCCGAGGAAGUGAGAAGCCCAGCAUAUUUGUUCCACCUAAUGAACCCAGUAAUGGCCAGUGGUUUUACGUGGAUGUUCCCAUGAUUGCACGUGCAUGUGGCCUCCCUGAGAACACUGUCUAUAUAGAAGAUAUGAAUGAAGACAUCUCUGCAAGUAAUCCUUAUCCUCUUCCAAAAGAUGCCAAUGCUUUGAUUCAUCACUCGGUGAUGCCUGAUGACCAUCUGAAAUACACCUUUACAUGGUAAGUGCCCCCAAUUCAUCAACCUUGUCUCCAGUUGGGUAUACAGAAUAUAUAAUAGUAUUUUCAUGUGUCAUCUAAUCAGGGAUAUUGUAUUAUACCAUUUUGUGUCAGUUAUAUGUUUGUGCUGCUGUCACUAGAACCUAGAAGUAUUGUGCUUCUCAUAGAAAAUUCGAGGGCAGUUUCUGGCUGUAUCCGACAUACACAAUUGCUUUGAGGUUUAUUGCAGCUACAAAUCAAAUUGCUGUUAUUAUCUGAUGACUUGAGUUUGAAGUUCAGUACCAUACCAUGAUAGUUUGACAGUUCAGUACCAUACCCAGAACGACUCAUCGACUCGAAAACCAUGGUCUAAGCACAUAUGGGCUGAACAUGCAAAACUCAGUUUUCUUUUCUUCUCUGACUUAAUUGCUUAUCCAUAGCAGGGGUGAAAAGAUUAUUAGUAAGCUAUGCACCUCUAGUACAGUAGUACUCGAAUGAUGAGUUGGUAUCUUGCCAUAUUGCUUGGAUGAAUCUAGCUUGUAUCAUGCAUCUGGCAAUCGUCUUUGGAGUCGACAACGUUGCAUGUGGUACUUGCAGCCAUAGCAUAAUGCUGGUGUGCCAACUUACAGCAUUAUGGGAUGUUCUAUCAUGAUCUAACAUUUUGACUGAAGCACUAGGAUCUAGGUUACAUCUACCAAAUGGAAUUACUGUAGGAAAAGCAUGUGUUGGAGAAAUAAGAGAAUAACAUUAGUGCACAGACUAUUUUGCUCAUCGCCAUUCAUUAUUCUUAAUUAUGCUGUUGAUGGUGGCUGUCAUGUGACCACUUUUAUCUUUUGCUAUUACUAGGUACACUCUUUCUGCUGCUGUGACUUACAUGGCCGCAAAGCGGAUAAAGGCAAAGAAGGUGAGGCUAUAGCAGGAGUGCAGGACCGAAAUCCAAUAAAGCCUUUCCUCCAUCGUGUACCUAUUUUAUGAAGCUCAAAUUCAUGCUGCUUCAGAAGGAGUGUGCAAGCGUUGCAUCUGUAUUUCAUAUCGGGCAUUGUUUUCGCAUUUCAUAUCGGGCAUUCGCUCAGCUGAGCUCGGAGAAUUACAGAGCUACAAAAGUUUUGUUAGCCUACCAUCCAAGGAGAGGGAGAAGACAUAGCUAACUAUUCCAGUUCUUCGUAGCAUAUGUUUUUUGAAUUGUUUUUUUGGCGACUGUUGCCAGAGACAUUGACGUGCUGGGUUGGCCCAUUUAUAACUUUAAACGACAAGUCAUUUUCCACCACCACCACUCACCAAGACGGCUGCUCCGAGGUCAGCUGAGCAGCAAAGCGAACAGGGUUUGUCCUGUCCCUAUGGGGAAUCAAUCCCCUUCUGAUGGCGCUCUCGCAUCAGAACUUCUGCAGUGCUUUGCCGAAUCCAUGUUCAAACACAGCACAGCUCUUGACUUGAGAACCUAUGGCCCUCUACUCUUCUUCGCCUCCAUCUUUCUUUUUUGGCUGUGAUGCUGUUUUCUCUGCUUGUCUUCUGCAUCUCUUGGCUGCUGGUGGUGUCCCUUUUCCCUCUGCGUCUCCUCCGGCGAUGUUCUUGAAUCAGGCAGGUGUGAAUAGGGCAAUGGUUUUUCUGGUACCCUACAGCCAGCCUACUGGCGUGGUAGUGGUACCAUGUGUCUGGAGAAAGCAGGUCAACAAUGCAUGUGAUGAUGUGAUGGUAGGGUGUAAUUGUAGAAAAAAUAAUUAGAGUGGUACCUUGAGGAGGAGUUGAUGUGAUCAUGGUGGCAGUAGCCUGGCCCUGGCUGCUACCCGUGCACGGUACGCCGUGCAGCUGCUGCUUAAAUGGCCGUCUUUAUCCGCUCGUACAGCCGCGCUAAUCUUAAGAGAGGACGCCCAAUCAAUCGAUCGCCCUUGAACCACCAACCCGUAAACCACCAGUGCCCUGCAAUGACACUCUCUGGUUAGUUCUCGCCAUUUAUUAAUGUACCGCGGUACCGAAGAUCACCCUAAAUGAAAAGGCAAGGACACUGCUCCUAACAAGAAAGAUUCUACUUCCUCACCAGCCAGUCACACCCAGCCACCCCAAGAGAGGAGGACACAUGUUUCUUGGGCUUACAUAGGAUUCUUCCAUCCACGAUUCCCUCCUUGGUACACACCAGCAUACUUGCAUGUUUUGCGAUUCGGCAUGCGUCCCAUGUCGACCAGUAACUCUCAUCUCAUCUCGGAGGAGUGGGAACAAGAGAUCACAUGAUCCGCAGGGCGGCCAUUAUUAUUACCACGGGCUAAAGAACACGCCGAGAGCUUCAGAGAGGCAACAUGGCAGGCCGAGACAAGAUUGCAACUGCAGUGCGAGGGCCGAUCGAGGCCAGUAGAUGUAGAACCCGUCGUCGUCAUCUCCUCACUCGCUCGCUGUCACUUUCCCUGUCUGUCUAUAGUAACACUCUGUACUAGUAGUAGCAGUAGUACCGCUGGCUGGCUGGGUUGGGUUGGUUGUGGCGAGGCGAGAGCAGGGAGACAGGUCUGGAAGGGGUCGAAAAUGUCAAAAGCCUAGCAAUGUAGCCAUCGGAGUUGGAGCCGCUGAAUCAUGGCAGCGAUCGCUGGCACGCUCAGCUUCGCCGGCUUCCUUUGUCAACAAAGCACAGCAGGCACGGCACGCCACGCCUGCUCUGCUCUGCUCUUCCGGGUCCUUCCCUUCCCUUCCCAUGGCAGCGCGGAAAGGAGGCCAUUUAAUACGCUCGUCCUAUGAUCCCAUUCAUUAAUCAAUCUAUCUUCAUUUCGUGUCCAGCCUGGGCAUUAAUUAAAUUAAAAUGCUGGUUUGCUAAUUUGAGGAUGAUUAGUUUGCUGGGCACGCUCCUUUGCUAAUCUGAUGAUGAUUAUUAGUUUACCAUUUCCAUCGACGAGGCCGAGAUAAAUUCACACAGCUUUCGCCUAGAUUUACCUCGGGCAGUCAGUCAGUUUGGACCUCGGGUGUGACGCACCGGGCGGGGCCGGCUGACGUGCAGGGAGGGUACGACUACAGAGGACAAGGCACGGGGGUAAAAUGGUAAAAAGGGCGGGCGGACCCCUCCCUUCUCCUGCCUUCCAACGACACAAGAGAACCGAGAGCCCACCUCCCCUCUCCUCUCCUCUCGGUGUGCAGCGCGGCGCGGCGCGCGCAGAGAGAGAAAGGAAGAGAGACAGACAGAGAGAGAUCCUCCUCGCAUCGCCAUCAUUCUCCAAUCUACCUGCUCUGAUUCAUCUGCGCUCUCGGCCGCCGCCGCCGCCGCCGCCUCUCCCGUCGGUCGCGCCGCGCAGGACGAUCCUCCUCGCCGCAACGCGCGCGCUUCACGGUACGGGCUGCUUCCUCCCUCCCUCCCUCCCGAGUAUCUUCCUCCGUGCCUUCGCUCCCCUGCCGCGCGCCACCUGCUUGACGGUGCGCCGCCUCCGUUUCGUGGGCGUUGUCGAGGUUGGUUACGGGCUUGCGGCUGUGUCUGUUGCCGCUCGUCAGUUUUGCGGGGUGGGGGAAUGGAAGCAGGAUCGGCGCCUUGUGUUGUUUCUCGGGGUGGAAUUCUCGGGUGAAGCUCUGCUCCGUUGCCUAGUUUUUUCACUUGUGGCGAGUGCAUCGGUUGGAUGAAUGCGAGAGUUGGUUGAUUCGAUCAACGAGCGCAUAUGGAGAAUUAUCAUGGGGUUUCAGUUGCUAAUUUGACGUGCGUGUGUGUUCGCGUCUUAUAGAGGUUUAAUUUCACUGUGGACUGCUGCUGCUUUGCUGGCACAAACCACCGCGUUAGUUGUAUUCUUAUCGUAGCAGUGCGGUUCGAGAAAUCAAUCUUACCUACACUUCUCGGGAAUGUGGGAGCGAUUGCUGAAUUUCUGCUUUCGUUUACCGUUCCUUCCCGAAGCAGGAACGUUAUAAGCUGUACUUUGUGGAUUAUGAGGGAACCAGUGUAUGCAGUGCGUAAUGGGUGGUGGCAUUGUUCAGUUGCUGCUAGUAGAAUCUCGGUGUCACUGCGUUCUAGCUGAAAAUGGUGGUGGCAUUGUUCAGUUGCUGCUAGUAAGAUUUCGGUGUCACUACGUUCUAGCUGAAAAUGGUGGUGGCAUUGUUCAGUUGCUGCUGGUAGGAUUUCGGUGUUGCUACGUUCUAGCUGAAAAUGGUAGUGGUAUUUGUAGGAGAUUAGGUUCUAGACUAGUGGUCUUUCUGGGAGCUCACAUUUGCAACUGUCUUCCUGAAAUAUUCGUGGGGCUUCCUGUUGGUUUACUCAAUAUUUGCCCUGUUGAUUGCAUGUUUGGUAGAUCCAGUUCGGUAGAAUUGUUCUAUGUCUGUAACUCUGAACAAGCCUUACUGCUAGCUUCAGGAAGUUGCUAGCACUAAACCAUGUAGUUUCUUAUGUUUUCUAAUUCGUUGUGUUUACCCAAGAAGAAAAGAUUAUUCGGAGAAUGAUUUGAUAGUUUGAGCUGGAAAGGGAAUGACUAAGUCUUGCUUCAUGUAGAUUCCAAGAUUUGGAUUGUCUUUGUGUGUUACUUUCAUUUGUAGCUAACUCACUACAUGUUGUGCUCAUGUGUUACACUGGUUUAAUGUGAGAGUUCGUUGCUUCAGCUAAGGAGGGCAUAAGGAGAAUGUCAUUGGGUUCCAGUUGGUACUUUGAUGUGCGUGUGUGUUUAUACAGGUUUAAUUCCACUGUGAGCUGCUGCUUUGCUGGCACCACCAUGUUAGUUGUUUCCUUAUUUUAGCAGUUAGGUUUGCGAAAUCAAUCGUGCCUUCUCUUCUCAGGAUUGUUGGAGGAACUGCUGAAAUUAUUUUCGUUUGCCGCUUCUUCCUGAAGCAGGAACGUUAUGAGUCAGGGAUACUUCAUGGAUUAUGAGGGAACCAGUGCAUGCAAUGCGUGAUGGGUGGUGGCAUUGCUCAGUUGCUGCCAGUAGGAAUUCGGUGUCACUACGUCCUUGCUGACAUUUGUAGGACACGAGGUUUUGGACUCGUGGUCUUCCUGGGAGCUCACAUUUGCAGCUGUCUUCCUCAAGCAUGCAUAUGCCUUCCUGUUGGCUCACUGAAUAUUUGCCCUGCUGAUUACUUGUUUUGUAUAUCCAAUCCUGUACAAUUGUUCUAUGUCUGUAACUCUGAAUGAGGCUUCAAGAAGUUGCUAACACUAAACCAUGCAAUUACCAAUGUUGUGUGAUUCGUCGUGUUUAUCCGAGAAGUGAAACUUUUUCGUAGAUGAUUUGAUAAUUUUAGCUGGAAAGGGAAUUCUUCCUAGCUUCACAUAUAUUUCAAGAUUUAGUUUGUCUUGAUGUGUUACUGUCAUUUGUAGCUAACUUGCUAUAUGCUUGCUCAUGUCAUUAGUUGCCCAACUAGUGCAACCUUAUUACAAUGUGUACUGAGCAUCAUUCAUUUUUUCUUGCCAGGUUCUGUGAUCUACCAUUGGCCUCAGGGAAGAUCCUAAGAGAGAGGAUAACUUACAUUUUUUAAUUCAGGUUAAGUAAAAUUACCCGCGGGGGGCAAAUGGCUGCAAUCAUGUUAUGCACGUGCAGCGGGGACCAAUCGAAGUUUGAAGAGAUGCCCCGAUCACCGGAAUCUCUCGCAACCCGGGAUUUCUCAGCAAGUGGUUCUUGUUCGAGACCAGGAAAACGAGAAGCAACACCUGAUGAUAGCCAAGUGAAUGAAGUGGAAUCGGACUUAAGAGAGACUCUUUCGCUAAAUUAUGAGGUUUGCCUGAAUCCUUCUCUCUUCAAGGAAGAUGAUUACAUUGCUGAUUUGCUCACUGUUGGAUCUAUCUGAUUAUGUAACAGGAGGCCCGGGCAUUGCUGGGUAGACUGGAGUAUCAGAGAGGAAACUUUGAUGCAGCAUUGCAAGUCCUUCAGGGCAUUGAUAUAAGAAGCCUCAAACCACGAAUGACCAGUGCUGUUACUGAAAGUGCCAAGCCUAAAGUUUCUCCACGUUCUUCAAGAAGGAAAACCUCACAAGUGAAUGGAAUGCUAGUGCAUAUGUCAAUGCAUUCUGUAAGUUUGCUUCUGGAAGCCAUAUUGCUUAAAGCGAGAUCUUUGGAAAGACUUGGUAGAGUGACAGGUACUGACUGAAGUUCUUAUCUAUGUGAUUUCUUGCAUUGUACUUUAGCAUCAUCAUCUGAAAUUGCCGUAGUAGUUUUAGAAGCUUUGCCAAAACAAAAGUCUAAUGUAUGAGGGCUUUGUUUCCUAGUAUUUCAUAGGAUUAAACAGAAACAGAAACCUAUGUAAUUGCAUCGGAUAAGGCCAUAUUAUAUUUCUUUGUCCAUCAUACAAGUUAUAUGCAUGUGCCUCAAUUAAAAUCUCUGCAACAUCCAAUCUGAGUUUCUCUUUGAUUUAAUGUUGCCUUUACAUGACAGAUGCUGCAGAAGAAUGCAGAACCAUCAUAGAUAUUGUAGAGUCUGCAUGGCCGGAUGGUGUUCCUGAAGGUACUUCCGAAGACUGUAAGUUGAUAGACAUGUUCCACUCGGCUCUAGAAUAUCUUCCUAACCUAUGGAUGAAAAGUGGUUGUUUUGAGGAGGCCAUAACUGCAUAUCGGAGAGCUCUUUCAAGGCCCUGGAAUUUGGAUUCUCAAAGGUCCGCCAACUUACAAAAAGACUUAGCGGUGACUCUACUGUACUGUGGUAUUGAAGUGAAGUCUCCUCAAGAGUUCAGUCAGCAACGGAACUUGGCAACCCCGGAGAACAACAUCGAGGAAGCAAUUUUGCUGCUGUUUGUACUUAUCAGAAAGCUAACCCUCCAAGAAAUAAAGUGGGAUCCUGAUCUCGUGAACCAUUUGAUGUACGCACUGUCAUUGUCUGGUCAUUAUGAAGUCUUGGCCAGGCAUCUAGAGAUGUUGUUACCUGGAACCUAUAGCAGAUCAGAAAGAUGGUACGUUCUCGCGCUUUGCUACAGUGCAGCUGGCAUGGAUGAUAGUGCCUUAAACAUCAUAAGGAAUGGUUUCCGUGUGUUACAAAGGAAGGGGAAACCUCAUAUUCCAUCUCUUCUUCUAGGAGCCAAACUAUGUUGUAAGAACCCAAAGCAUGCUUCUGAAGGAAUAAAAUUUGCAAAUAAAGCCAGGGAGUCAUUCAGAAGUCAUGAUAUGCAUUUCAUCAGUGCUGUGAAUCAUUUCCUUGGUGUUUGCUAUGGACCUUUUGCUAGGUCAUCCACUUCUCACACAGAAAAAAUGAGAUUGCAAGAUGAUGCACUGAGGCUGUUGCAGGAUGCUGCGGCAACGGCGAAGUAUAAUCCUGAAAUACUGUACAGCCUUGCUUGGGAAAAUGCAAUGCAGCGCAAACUGAAUGCAGCCAUUGAAAGUGCAGCGGAAUGUCUCGAAAUGGUGACAGGAAGUUCAGUGAGUACCUGGAAGCUGUUGAUUCUAGUGUUAUCUGCACAGCAGAAUUUGGAAGAAGCUGAAUCAGUAGCUGAUAUUGCACUAGAUGAGGCUGAGCAAGAGGAUCAAAUGGAUAUUUUGAGGCUAAAAGCACUAAUUCAGUCCUCCCGUGGACAAUUCAAGUCUGCUGUGGAAUCUUUUAGGAUUUUGCUUGCAAUCAUUCAAGCAAAGAAGGAAAUCUGGAAAUUGACCCCUUAUGAUAAGGUACGACCACUUACAUUUCUUACCAAAACUCAAAUGAUGAUAGCAUGUGUCUACUUUCUUUAAUAUCUACUUGGCCUACACAGGUUAAAUCCCUGCAUAAGUUAGAGAUGGAAGCAUGGUUAGAUUUGGCAUCAAUAUACACAAAGCUUGAAGCAUGGAAUGACUCAAACAUCUGUCUUGACAAAGCAAAAUCCAUCGAUUUCUUAUCUCCAAAGUGCUGGCAUGUCAAAGGUAAAUAUUCUUACAACCUUGACUAUGCUGUCGUUUGUGGCUAAUUGUGCUCCACAUGAGGCCUGGUUCUGAUGCUUACCGUCAUUCUAGUAAGUUACAUGCCUAACAUAAAAAAAAUUACUCUGAAUUAGUUAGUAAGCAUUGGAGUUGGUACUUACACCCAUAGCCGGCCUUUACCAAAACUGUGUGUGCCGGCUUUUAACCUCUAAACCUUACCACUCCGAAUAAUAUCAGGACAAAUUAUUUUUGGCCAAAACAACCUCAAGCAAGUACAUACUGUACAGGCUAUAAUCGAACAAGCUAAAGCUAUGAACACCAACUUUGUCAGCCCUCGGAUGUACAUGUUACAUGACGAUCACCAGAUACUUGAUGAUGGUUGAAGUAUUAAUCUAGCUAUGUGCGGAUAUUAAGAUUUCCAAAAGAACAUUGUAUUUAUUUGCUAUCAUCUUCGAGUUCUCUUAAUUAAAUGAUGAGGCAAAUCUUUUGCCUCCGUUUCGAAAAAAUCAUCUUCGAGUUCUGGCUCGGUCAUACAACUGAGGUUGAUAUUACCUGCAUGUGCUUAAGUAAUGGUAUUUGUUUUCACUUGACAUCAAGAAAUUGUCAGCAACAGCAAAGAUGAGUGGACGUUAAGGAGAUUUGAUUUGUCCCUGAAACUCUGUUGGCUUAGUGCUAUAAUUCACUAUCGAUCAAUUAAACGUUGUUUACAUAUUUGCGGGUAACGGACAUAAUGAUAUUGCAUGUCAGGAGCAACUACAAAAAGUAACGGUGAUCCCAGAUAUCUGAAUGGGUAGCCAAAGGCAUGUUUGUGUUAGAUUUGCUAUUGUCAUUUUCAUAUUGUGGAUCAAUUGCUACACUUGCUGUUGUUCAUUCUGCUCUAUGAUUUUCAGAAGCGCUAACAUGUGUGCUUUUCCAGGCCUGAUAUUGGAGGCCCAGUCCUUGCACCAAGAAGCCCUCGAGGCAUUCUCAUUCUCCCUCUCCAUCAAUCCAGACUAUGUCCCUAGCAUGGUUUCUAUGGCAAGCAUUCUAAGAACUCUAGGAGCGAAAUCAUCGUCAAUCGCGAGAACUUUCCUUCGCAGCGCCACCCGCUUAGAGCCAACAAACCAUCAAGCCUGGAUGGGGCUCGGACUCGUCCUGAAAUCUGAAGGAUCGGUGCUUGAGGCCGCUGACUGCUUCCAGGCAGCUUACGAGCUCCUAGAGUUGUCACCUAUUCAGGAUUUCUCCGAGCAACUGCCCAUCUUGCUGCAGUAGGAACUCGUCGCCUUGCCAGAUAUCAAAAAGGAAAAGAAAGUAAACAUUGCCUUGCCAAAUAGCACAGGUUUUGCUCUAGAAAUCUCAUUGCAUCCUUGGCUCUCCAACCAGUAAAUUAUGUGAAUGUAGUAUACCCAUUUUGUUUUGUGGAUGAGCAGUUAUGGUAAAUUAUGUGAGUGUAGGUAUUUCUGUUAAUGUUGCAACUCCCUGUGCUGCACAUUCAGUUUUGUUCUAUUGGAAGAACAUAAAUGAAAGAGAUAUGCUUGGUAGAGCGAGUUUCCAUUGCUCGAAGAAUCUGUUUCCAUCUCACAGGGAAAAGGUUUCCACUACACUAAUGUGAAAAUCUCAGAAAUCAAUGAAAUCCAGUCCUAAAACUAAAAUACCAAACCAUGGUCUCUUUCUAAACGAAAAUAGCAUUCCCGCCAUUAGAUGAAAAUGCCGAUUUUUCUUUUUACAUCACUGCAUCCAUAAAGAUCAGUGCAACCGCCCUCUAUUGGUGCCAACCCUGAUUUUUACUGUUAAAGCAGUAGUUGAUGUAGUAGUGCUUUGGAUUUCAGAUAGGAAUAUCUCCAGGUUUUCUUUGAGGAACAUUUCAUUGGUUUUCUGCACUUAACCCGAAAAGUUUUAAAACGAGACCUGCUCUGUGAAGUGAUGGAAGCAGUGGAGGUUUAGGCUUGGAUCUGUUCAGUUGAGGAAAGGGAGGAAGACGAUCAUGAUAGAUUGGUGAAUGAAGCUAUCCAAGCAAAGGAUAUGCACCACACUGACUGGGGCCGUGGACAAGUGAAGAGAGUGUUUUGUGAUGUCUCCAUCUUACCAGAGUAUACAAUCAGUAUCCCAGUGACGUUUACUUAAUUCUGCAGCAGACUGAAUGCGAACAUUCAUAGCUAGCCACAUAAAGUGCUUCACCUUCAAAGGAGUAAAGAUUUCCACAGAUAUCUACUCCCUCCGUUCUGAAUUACUUGUCUCGGAAAUGGAUGUAUCUAAAACUAAAAUAUGUUGAUACAUCCAUUUCCGCGACAAGUAAUUCCGAACGGAGAGAGUAGCUCUUGAGUCAGUAGUGCCACUUCAUUGAAACUUUGAUUUAUCCAAUUUUCUUCAUUGCAGCUUACCAGUUUGAUCUCUUCAAAAUAACCUGCUGAUGAAACAGCAGUUUGGGAACCCUUGUCACAAUAUAAUACUCCCUCCAUCACGAAUUACUUGUCGCUACAUCAAUUUCUAUCCAUUUUGCGGUAUGUAUAGACAUAUUUGAAGUUCUAGAUACAUCAAUUUCUAUCCAAUUUUGCAGUAAAUAAAUACUUGGUGCUUCUGACGAGUAAAUAUGGAAGCCGCAUGAAAAUACGAGUGUUGACUCAAAGACCGAACGCCAAAUUGGCUGUUUCGAUCCAUGCCCUUUUCCCCUUCACUUUCUGUGCGACUAAUUGGGGGAGCACAUUGCUAAUUUUACUUUCAUGCUCCCCUCCCGUCACUUCUACAAGUAAUUCCAAGACGGAGGGAGUCAUGGCUAGGAGAAGCUGUAGCCAUUACAUACAAGCUGCAAACAUCUCGUAUGCACGCGAACAAAAAGUUGGUACUGAGAUACAGCUAACAAAACAACAGAGCAUAAGUUCCAUUCAAACAUAAAACACACACGGCAGGAAUAAACUAAAUAUUUAGUUUUAAACUCAUAACCUCCAUCCAGAAAGUAACACGAACAAAAUAAGAUAACUGAACGCUGGCUAGGAAUGUCGACAGAAGUACUCAAGAAAUCAGCCAUCAAAACUGACUACAAAGUUCACGACACCCAGGUGGCACAUAUAUCAUCUUCUAGAUAUGAAGCAGCAAAAUAGCGACUUCUAUUUUCUACUCAGCAGCAGCAACCUCCUCCGCUCCAGGAAUCACCUCAUCUCCAUCAGCAGGCCUGUCAAGCUUCACACCAACAUCCUCCUUGUAGUCACCGUGCACCUGGAACAGGCAACAUGGGUCACAUUAGAACUUCAGUAGACUGGAGAACAACAAUUAACACUGCCCAGCUAAAAUAUUUUCAGUAGACAUGGUGGUGCCACAAG
rnacentral:lncRNA from 1 species